GCGGAUAUAGUUUAAUGGUAGAACUUCAGUUUUCCAAACUGAAAGCCUGAGUUCGAUUCUCAGUAUCCGCA
rnacentral:tRNA from 1 species